AUGACUUUGAUCUGCGUCCUCAUCUGGACUCUCCUCUGCUGCUGCUUCACAGAGUCCAGAGGACAGAUCACAGUGACUCAGUCUGGAGCAGUGAGCUCUGCUGUGGGAGGAUCUGUGAGCAUCAAGUGUGGGACCAGUCAGGAUGUUUAUAACAACAACUUGUUAGCCUGGUACCAACAGAAAGAUGGAGGAGUUCCUAAACUGCUCGUUUAUGUUGCUAGCACUCGACAAUCAGGGAUUCCAGCUCGAUUUACAGGCAGUGGAUCGAACUCUGACUUCACUCUGACCAUCAGUGGAGUCCAGGCUGAAGAUGCAGCAGUUUAUUACUGUCAGAGUUGGCACUAUCCUAACAGUCACCAUGUCUGGACAAUUGGCCCUGGAACUGUAGGUAGUGAUGUCCGUUCCACCCUGACGGUGCUGCCGCCCUCGAGUAAGGAGCUGGAGCAGGGGAAUGCCAUGCUCACAUGUCUGGCCAACAAGGGCUUUCCCUUCUGUUUGCUGUAA